CAACACAAUCUCUCUCUCUUCCUCGGCCGCACACCUAAUUCUCUCCUCUCUCCUUUCCACUUCUCUCGAUCGGAGACCACCAUUUCCGGCCACCAAUUCAAAACACGCCGCCGCCAAUCGAUUCUAGACCCGAUUCCGAUCAAAACCCAAGAGGAUCACUGCCAUCCACCGCCGCCAGCCUCAUCACGCGACCAUCAAAGUCGCGACGGUGCUGCUCCCUAGCUCUCAUCAAGUUUCGGCCAUCUCCUCAACACACCCCCGCCAUCAGCGUGCUCAGAGGAAGUCGGACAUCAAAAUCCAGAAGCCUCGCCGCCUGCCGUACCUCGAAGGACCCCGCAUGUUCCAUCAUCGGAAUCCUAGACCCUGGGUUUCUCCGGUCUUCCUUCUCCAAAUCGAAUCGAGCUCCAAUACCUCCAAGAAUGGAGUCAGUGCCUCUCCUUUUAUCAAAACCAAGGGCCCGACUUCUGAUUUCAACCAGAGCCGCCACGGACGCCCCCGGAUUAUCCUCUUCGUUCUGUUCUUUUGAUUGUUGUUCUUGAAUUUCGUACUCGGAGGAAAUAGGGGAAAUUGAAAUGUAAAGGGGAGCUUCUGGUCUUGAUUUCGAUUGAUUUUUAAAGGGAUGAUGAGGACUGCAUGAAGUAGCAGGUUACUGAGACUAUUGUCUCUGGCAGAAAUGGUACAAGGGAACUGGCAGAAAAGAAGAUGGGUAUUCCUAAUCCAGUACUGAUCAAGCAGUUCCAAUUGACAAUGGAGGAAGUUGAUGAGCUGCUGAAGAACACAUUUGAGGCUUUGUAGGAAGUGCAAUGAAACAUUCAGAAGACUGGAGGGGAAAGAUCAGAAAUGCUCAAGCGUCAAUCAAAUGUUGUACGAGCACUUAAAUGCAGCUCAAGACGUUAUUUCUACUUUCUGAAUGUAUAUGAAACUAUCAAAACCCUAGUAUUUUUUCCAGAAAGUGUAGAAUCAGUUGACAUUAACUUUGAAGCAUGGAUGGUUGGAAUGAAAGGCAUAACCUAUCACAACAGCAAACAUGGUAAUCAGACUACAGUUAAAAACUGUAGUUUGAUUCAUUUGUUGGCCUAGGGCGGUCACGUUUCCGAAUUUGUUAUGUGUUUGACUCUAAACAAAACCCCGAACUCCAAAUUUCUGUCAUGUUUAAGUUGUAUUAUUGUUGUUCCACUCUGAUUGUAAAGAAUUGCUCUUGGGUUUCACA